rnacentral:rRNA from 1 species
GUAUCAACGGCAUCACGAGGAUUGCACUGUCUCCUCCCUCCAAUCAGUGAAACUGAUCUCCCCGUGAAAAAGCGGGGAUAAAGAUAUAAGACGAGAAGACCCCAUGGAGCUUUAAACCCAACAGCAACUCAGUAACAUAAUUCCUCAUAACCCACAGAGAAAUGCACGUCGGUUUUAGGUUGGGGUGACCGCGGAGUAAAAAUUAUCCUCCACGACGAAAAGAGCUAAAUCUUUAUCUAAGAACUACUAUUCUAAGAAUUAGUAUACUAACGAACAAUGACCCAAUUAUUGAUCAACGAAACAAGUUACCCUGGGGAUAACAGCGCAAUCUACUUCAAGAGCCCAUAUCAACAAGUAGGCUUACGACCUCGAUGUUGGAUCAGGGUAUCCCAGUGGUGCAGCCGCUACUAAAGGUUC